rnacentral:lncRNA from 1 species
CACUAGUUACCUCUCCCCACAACUCUCCUUAUCAUCUUCCCUCUCCAUCGCUAUCUUUUAUCUCGUCUCGUCACUGUGAGACUAGGGUUACCAUCGGCGAUGGUGUAGGUGUCAAACAGGUGCUACGAUGUACUCCGGCAUUCAAAUCUCGAAAAUACACAAAAGACGCGCCGACGAUACUCCGACGAUACUCCGACGACACUCCGACGAAACUCCAUCAACA